rnacentral:rRNA from 1 species
CCUACGGGAGGCAGCAGUAGGGCAUAUUGCUCAAUGGGGGAAACCCUGAAGCAGCAACGCCGCGUGGAGGAUGAAGGUUUUCGGAUUGUAAACUCCUUUUGUUAGAGAAGAUAAUGACGGUAUCUAACGAAUAAGCACCGGCUAACUCCGUGCCAGCAGCCGCGGUAAUACGGAGGGUGCAAGCGUUACUCGGAAUCACUGGGCGUAAAGCGCGCGUAGGCGGGAUAGCAAGUCAGAUGUGAAAUCCUAUGGCUUAACCAUAGAACUGCAUUUGAAACUGUUAUUCUAGAGUAUGGGAGAGGUAGGUGGAAUUCUUGGUGUAGGGGUAAAAUCCGUAGAGAUCAAGAGGAAUACUCAUUGCGAAGGCGACCUGCUAGAACAUAACUGACGCUGAUGCGCGAAAGCGUGGGGAGCAAACAGGAUUAGAUACCCCAGUAGUC